AUUGAACGCUGGCGGCAUGCCUUACACAUGCAAGUCGAACGGCAGCACGGGAGCAAUCCUGGUGGCGAGUGGCGAACGGGUGAGUAAUAUAUCGGAACGUGCCCAGUCGUGGGGGAUAACGCAGCGAAAGCUGUGCUACUACCGCAUACGAUCUAUGGAUGAAAGCGGGGGAUCGCAAGACCUCGCGCGAUUGGAGCGGCCGAUAUCAGAUUAGCUAGUUGGUGAGGUAAAGGCUCACCAAGGCGACGAUCUGUAGCUGGUCUGAGAGGACGACCAGCCACACUGGAACUGAGACACGGUCCAGACUCCUACGGGAGGCAGCAGUGGGGAAUUUUGGACAAUGGGCGAAAGCCUGAUCCAGCAAUGCCGCGUGCAGGAUGAAGGCCUUCGGGUUGUAAACUGCUUUUGUGCGGAACGAAACGGUGAGCUCUAAUACAGUUUGCUAAUGACGGUACCGUAAGAAUAAGCACCGGCUAACUACGUGCCAGCAGCCGCCGUAA
rnacentral:rRNA from 1 species